rnacentral:rRNA from 1 species
CCUACGGGAGGCAGCAGUAGGGAAUAUUGCUCAAUGGGCGAAAGCCUGAAGCAGCAACGCCGCGUGAGGGAUGAAGGUCUUCGGAUUGUAAAACCCUUUUUUUAGAGAAGAAAAUGACGGUAUGUAACGAAUAAGCACCGGUUAAUUCCGUGCCAGCAGCCGCGGUAUCACGGCGGGCGCACGCGUUACUCGGAAUUAAUGGGCGUAAAGCGCGCGUAGGUGGGUUAGCAAGUUCGAUGUGAAAUCCUAGGGCUUAACCAUAGAACUGCAUUUGAAACUGUUAGUCUUGAGUUGGGGAGAGGUAGGUGGAAUUCGUGGUGUAGAGGUGAAAUGCGUAGAGAUCACGAAGAACACUCAUUGCGAAGGCGACCUGCUGGAGCAUAACUGACGCUGAUGCGCGAAAGCGUGGGGAUCAAACAGGAUUAGAUACCCGAGUAGUC